GACGAACGCUGGCGGCGUGCUUAACACAUGCAAGUCGAACGGAAAGGCCUUUUCGGCGGUACUCGAGUGGCGAACGGGUGAGUAACACGUGGGUGAUCUGCCCUGCACUCUGGGAUAAGCCUGGGAAACUGGGUCUAAUACCGGAUAGGACCGCACUUUAGUGUGUGUGGUGGAAAGUUUUUUCGGUGUAGGAUGAGCCCGCGGCCUAUCAGCUUGUGGUGGGGUAAUGGCCUACCAAGGCGGCGACGGGUAGCCGGACUGAGAGGUUGGUCGGCCACAUUGGGACUGAGAUACGGCCCAGACUCCUACGGGAGGCAGCAGUGGGGAAUAUUGCACAAUGGGCGCAAGCCUGAUGCAGCGACGCCGCGUGGGGGAUGACGGCCUUCGGGUUGUAAACUCCUUUCGCCAGGGACGAAGCGUUUUGUGACGGUACCUGGAGAAGAAGCACCGGCUAACUACGUG
rnacentral:rRNA from 1 species